rnacentral:lncRNA from 1 species
AGAAGAUGUACAGAACUGACGUUGAUCACCAUCAAUCUUAUUGUUGUAUCCUUUCACAAUAGUUUUCUGGACAUUUCAUCAAUUUUAUAGAUAGUUAUUAUCGUUCAGGUUAGACAAGGACCUCAGUGGCCGAGACGUCUAGGUAGUUAAACUUCUGUAAUCACUAUCCAGUCAACACUGAGGUUGUGAAUUCGUACCAUGUGUGCACUCGACAAUUGACUAGAAUAUUAAGUUUUCCUACCGGUUCGAACUCACAACUCGAGUGUUGACUGGCUAGUGAUAACAGUAGUAGAACUACUUAGACCACUUGGCCACCGAGGACCCUCCACCAAGAAGAACUGACCGCCACGAAAUAGCAGAAUAGUUUUAAAAGUUGCGUUAAAAACCAAUCAGAUCUAUAAAUAAAUCAAACAAGUUACACAUAUUUACACCUAAAAAUAUGGAAAUAAGAAAAAAUAUAACUAAGUUGCCAUACUUAUGAUGAUAUGAAGUCUCCUUUUUUUUGCAAAAUGGAUGGAUUGUUCUUUUUUUAAGUACACAAAAUUACUAAAUAUUUAUGAAAAAAUAUCAAAUUGUAAAGAUAAUCUAACGUUUCAUUUGUUCCUGGAAGGAUAAUCUAAAAUUGUUGACUGAUAACUUUAUUCGCCUUUUAAACGUCGCUAAGUAAAAUACAAGUGCGUAGACUAAACGAAAAUAUAAAAUGUCAGAAACAAUACAGAAUCAAACGAUGAAGAACAGGCGCGAAAAAACAGUAAAAACAACACAAAAUACAUUGAUUGUCUGAAGUCAUUAGAACGUUCACAAGUUGACAAAUUAGAACUAGUUUAUUACACUUCCUUGAUGUUGAACUACAGAUAUUAGUUUUACUAGUUGCUGUUAUUGCCUUAGUGAUUACCAUUGCAGUUUAUACUUUCUAAAAGGUAUACUUACAUUUAUGUAGAUUUAUCUGUAUUAAGGUAGCACAAUACAACGAUUUUUUUCACUCCCAAUCAGACAACUUUAAACUGAUGUAAUUCAUUUAAUCCUUCUUUAUAUUUUAUAAAUGAGGUAUCAAAAGAAUGAAAAAAAAAAAAAAUCUUUCAAAUUGUGAUAAUUACAUUAUGACAUAAUUAUUACAUAAUUAAUUAUUAUGCAAUUAGUUGCUCUAUUGUGAUGACCACACUGAAAUGAAUUUAGUAUCAUUCUUUGUUCUUCAUAGCAUCCCAAAAUAUUUUAUAGAUUCUUGUACAACACAGCUUGAACUCCAAAACCGUGUCUCAGAUUUCCAAAAACAUCAAUAGAACAAAUUUUAUACCCAAAUGAAUUUAGUGGUGUCUUAUGAAUUGAUGUUGAAAACUUCAUUGAAGAUUUAUGAGAGAAUCAAAUACAAUAGGAAAAAUCUGAGCCACAGUUUUGGAGGUCAAACUGUGUUGUGCAAGAUUCUAUAAAAUAUUUUGGGAUGCUAUGAAUAACAAAGAAGCUAAAUUCAUUCAAGUAUGGACAUCACAAUAUUGCAACUAAUUACAUAACAAUUAAUCAUGUAACAAUUAUGUCAUAAUGAAAUUAUCACAAUUUAAAAGAUUAAUCUUUCUCCUUUCUUUUGGCACCUCAUUUAUAAAAUUUAAAGAAAGAUGAGUGGAAUUACAUCAGUUUAAAGAUGUUUGAUUGGGGAUGAAAAAUCUUUGUAUUGUGCUACCUUAACUUUAAUAAAUUGUAUUUUUGUCAAAAAUUAAAAGUAUUUCCCCUUUGUUGGCGUGUGAUAAAAAUCAAGUACUAGCAUGUCACAAUAUUGUUCUACGAUUAUGCAUAUCGAUAAUUAUUGCAUAUGAAAUGAUGCCCUUUAGUUAUAAAUGUAAAGUUUCUCCCCGACAAAUGACAUAAUUUUUUUCAAAUUAUAAACAGAAAAGAACACAAAUUAAGCAUGUAAUUGGUUAUACUUAAACGAAGAAUUUUAACAUAAUGUGGUUAUUUAUCUUGCAGAACCAGGACAAGAGUACGGUGAACAGACAGAGAGUAUGAAGAAACAAACCGAGGGAAAUGAUGACAAUAACAUUAAUCCUAUUCCAAUGACUUGUUUCUAUGUUUUACAAGAUUAACAUCAAACAUCCAUUAAAUAAUGCAUGGAACUAUCCAUGUUUUUCUCCUAAUCGAAUAGCUUUAUUUUCACGAAACGACAUGAUUUAAAUGAUAUUUUGAUUUACAAUGUUCAUCUCAUAUCGCUGUCAUUUGCUUUUUAAUGUUUAUUAUAUGUAUUAAAUUUUUUUAGCAGAUACGAGUAAUUUUUUAAACUGAAAUUGAAUGUACAUUCUCUUUUUACUUUAAAAUAUAGUUUUAAAUUUAUUCCGUCAUGACAUAGAAAAGAAUUGUCUCUUGAAGAAGUGCUAGUAUAAGCAUAGAAUGAAAGGGUAUAUGUCAAUAUGCAUUCUGUGUGAGAACUGGAUGACAAAAAUAUUUCCCGCUUUACAUUUCGAUCUUUUGAGAUAAAAAAAUUCCAACA